rnacentral:sRNA from 12 species
CCUGCUAAGCCUCUUAACAAUGCUCAAAUCAGCAGGU